UACGUAGGGGGCAAGCGUUGUCCGGAAUCAUUGGGCGUAAAGCGCGUGUAGGCGGUUCGGUAAGUCCGCUGUGAAAGUCGGGGGCUCAACCCUCGAAUGCCGGUGGAUACUGUCGGACUAGAGUCCGGAAGAGGCGAGUGGAAUUCCUGGUGUAGCGGUGAAAUGCGCAGAUAUCAGGAGGAACACCGAUUGCGAAGGCAGCUCGCUGGGACGUGACUGACGCUGAGACGCGAAAGCGUGGGGAGCAAACAGG
rnacentral:rRNA from 1 species